UGCAGUCGAGCGCAGGAAGUCGACGGAACCCUUCGGGGGGAAGUCGAUGGAAUGAGCGGCGGACGGGUGAGUAACACGUAAAGAACCUGCCCUCAGGUCUGGGAUAACCACGAGAAAUCGGGGCUAAUACCGGAUGGGUCAUCGGACCGCAUGGUCCGAGGAUGAAAGGCGCUCCGGCGUCGCCUGGGGAUGGCUUUGCGGUGCAUUAGCUAGUUGGUGGGGUAAUGGCCCACCAAGGCGACGAUGCAUAGCCGACCUGAGAGGGUGAUCGGCCACACUGGGACUGAGACACGGCCCAGACUCCUACGGGAGGCAGCAGUAGGGAAUCUUCCACAAUGGACGAAAGUCUGAUGGAGCAACGCCGCGUGAACGAUGAAGGCCCUCGGGUCGUAAAGUUCUGUUGUAAGGGAAGAACAAGUGCCGCAGGCAAUGGCGGCACCUUGACGGUACCUUGCGAGAAAGCCACGGCUAACUACGUGCCAGCAGCCGCGGUAAUACGUAGGUGGCAAGCGUUGUCCGGAAUUAUUGGGCGUAAAGCGCGCGCAGGCGGCCUCUUAAGUCUGAUGUGAAAGCCCCCGGCUCAACCGGGGAGGGCCAUUGGAAACUGGGAGGCUUGAGUAUAGGAGAGAAGAGUGGAAUUCCACGUGUAGCGGUGAAAUGCGUAGAGAUGUGGAGGAACACCAGUGGCGAAGGCGACUCUUUGGCCUAUAACUGACGCUGAGGCGCG
rnacentral:rRNA from 1 species